rnacentral:rRNA from 1 species
GAUGAACGCUGGCGGCGUGCCUAAUACAUGCAAGUCGAGCGAACAGACGAGGAGCUUGCUCCUCUGACGUUAGCGGCGGACGGGUGAGUAACACGUGGAUAACCUACCUCUAUGACUGGGAUAACUUCGGGAAACCGGAGCUAAUACCGGAUCAUAUAUUGAACCGCAUGGAUCAAUAGUGAAAGACGGUUUUGCUGUCACUUAUAGAUGGAUCCGCGCCGCAUUAGCUAGUUGGUAAGGUAACGGCUUACCAAGGCAACGAUGCGUAGCCGACCUGAGAGGGUGAUCGGCCACACUGGAACUGAGACACGGUCCAGACUCCUACGGGAGGCAGCAGUAGGGAAUCUUCCGCAAUGGGCGAAAGCCUGACGGAGCAACGCCGCGUGAGUGAUGAAGGUCUUCGGGUCGUAAAACUCUGUUAUUAGGGAAGAACAAAUGUGUAAGUAACCAUGCACGUCUUGACGGUACCUAAUCAGAAAGCCACGGCUAACUACGUG